AUUGAACGCUGGCGGCAUGCUUUACACAUGCAAGUCGAACGGUAACAGGCCUUCGGGUGCUGACGAGUGGCGAACGGGUGCGUAAUGCAUCGGAACGUGCCCAGAGGUGGGGGAUAACGCAGCGAAAGCUGUGCUAAUACCGCAUGUGAUCUGAGGAUGAAAGCGGGGGACCAGGCAGCAAUGUUUGGCCUCGCGCCUUUGGAGCGGCCGAUGUCAGAUUAGGUAGUUGGUGGGGUAAAGGCCUACCAAGCCGACGAUCUGUAGCUGGUCUGAGAGGACGAUCAGCCACACUGGGACUGAGACACGGCCCAGACUCCUACGGGAGGCAGCAGUGGGGAAUUUUGGACAAUGGGCGCAAGCCUGAUCCAGCAAUGCCGCGUGCGGGAAGAAGGCCUUCGGGUUGUAAACCGCUUUUGUACGGAACGAAAAGGCUCUGGCUAAUACCUGGGGCUGAUGACGGUACCGUAAGAAUAAGCACCGGCUAACUACGUG
rnacentral:rRNA from 1 species